UACAGAGGGGGCAAGCGUUGUUCGGAAUUACUGGGUGUAAAGCGCGUGUAGGCGGCAGGCCAAGUCGGUGGUGAAAGCGCCCGGCUCAACUGGGCGAGGUCCAUGGAAACUGGUCAGCUGGAGGACGGUAGAGGCGAGUGGAAUUCCCGGUGUAGUGGUGAAAUGCGUAGAGAUCGGGAGGAACACCUGUGGCGAAGGCGGCCCGCUGGGCCGGUCCUGACGCUGAAACGCGAAGGCGUGGGGAGCGAACGGG
rnacentral:rRNA from 1 species